rnacentral:rRNA from 1 species
GAUAAACGCUGGCGGCGUGCAUGAGACAUGCAAGUCAUACGGGCGAGCUUGCUCGCUAGUGGCGAACGGCUGAGUAACGCGUAGGUGACCUGCCCCGAAGUGGGGGAUAACUGCCCGAAAGGGUGGCUAAUACCGCAUGUGGCGAUGAGAUCAAUCUCAUCAUCAAAGCCGCGAGGCGCUUCGGGAGGGGCCUGCGUCCGAUUAGCUCGUUGGUGGGGUAACGGCUCACCAAGGCGACGAUCGGUAGGUGGUCUGAGAGGACGAUCACCCAGACUGGGACUGAGACACGGCCCAGACUCCUACGGGAGGCAGCAGUCGGGAAUUUUGCUCAAUGGGGGAAACCCUGAAGCAGCAACGCCGCGUGCGGGAUGAAGGCCUUCGGGUUGUAAACCGCUUUUACCAGGGACGAUAAUGACGGUACCUGAUGAAUAAGUCACGGCUAACUACGUG